UCUCGCUCAGCCUCUCGCUUGCUCUUAAAACAGACUCGGCAUCAUUGAGCUCUGACAGAUGGGGAGACACCGCCGAGGUGGAAGACUCAAGGGCCAGUAGAGUCUCUCCUUUGUUUCUUCUCCACAUGAGCACCUCAUCACUAUCCUCCCAACCUUGGAAGAAGAUGAGGAGGCUCUGCAUGUGAGAAGAAUCGUAGAGAGAAUGGUAGAAGAGGAGCAACAGGGUGGUUCGAAGCGAUCAAGAGGAGGUUUCCUGUUUCUUCAUGCUGGAGCAAGGAGUCCUCACUCCCAGCAUCAUCAACAGCAGUCAUGUGAGAGGAGCCCUCAGCACGCAGAGGAUGACCAGUUCAAGCUGAAGUAGAUCUGUUACCUGCCUACUGCAGUCUCCCUCCUUUCUCACAUGACGACGAGAAGAUGACUAUUACCAGUCGACAGUCCCUCAUCUUCCUUCUUCUGUCCACUGCAGCGCUCUCCGCUCAUUACCGAGUGUGCGAGCCCUACUCCGACCACAAGGGGCGCUACCACUUCGGCUUCCACUGCCCCCGCCUGUCAGACAACAAGACCUACAUGUUCUGCUGCCACCACAACAACACCGCCUUCAAGUACUGCUGCAAUGACACCGAGUUCCAAAUGGUCAUGCAGAUCAACCUCACUACCAACGCGGAUGGAUAUUCACACAAAGCAGUAGCAACACGCUGUUUCCUUCCAUGGUACAGAGGAAACGCCUUCCUACACUUAGCCUGCCUACAUGGAGUCUUUCGCACAGACCUCGGCCCUCAGCAACCCCUUCUGAAGAGCACAAAGCACAGAGGGACUGACAGCAGGACAACAAUAACAAAGUACCCCUGUCUCCAUUCCUGCUGCCAUCCUCUCUGGAACCCUGAUUUGCUCUCCUGGAUCCCCGACACAUUGCCUGGACUUUGGACGCUCUCUCCUGCCGGACACCGGAUUGCUUUUGCCUUCUUCCUCUGGUUUUGGACGCCACCAUCCAACACGCACGACAACAUUCCUUACGCUAGCUAGCUGCUAAGCUAAUGAGGCUAGCGGAGAAAGGCAGUGCCGGUCUGAAGGAAGCUACUCCCCCGCCACCGUGACCACCACUUCCCGAAGACAGCUGGCACUUCACUCUGCGACGGAAAGUUUCUGUGAGUAUGGCUUCCUGCGCUUCGUGCACUUUACUCAUGGAUAGGUUGGCUUUGCUAGAGAGCCGUGUCCGCCAGUUAGAGCAGUGUAAUUUCGUAACUUUAGAUGUUGCGGACACAUCUGCUAGCGUUAGCUGUAGCCAGCCAACUAGCCCAGCUUGUAGCGGCCUACAAGCCACGGUGUACCGGUUGAGACGCAUAAUAGAUUUAGCCCUUUAGCUAGUCCUACACCCCAGUCUACCGGGCACCACACUUUAGUCAUAGGGGACUCCAUCACCCGAAACAUAAAGCUUAGCAAACCAGCCACAAUUAAGUGUAUUCCCGGGGGCAGAGCACCUGACAUUGAAGCUAAUCUUAGGGAGCUAACUCGCAACAGGUCUAGUAAACACGUACGGCAGGCUAACCGCACCACUAGUUAUGCGAAUAUAGUAAUACACGUUGGCUCCAAUGACGUUAGGAUGAGACAAUCAGAGAUUACAAAGAGAAACAUAGCCAGGGCUUGUAAUCUCGCCAGAAAGAUGUCCAGGCAUCGAGUAAUUGUCUCUGGCCCCCUGCCUGGGAGAGGCAAUGAUGAGAGAUAUAGCAGAUUAGUCUCUCUUAACAACUGGCUGGAUAGCUUUUGUAGACAACAGGGAUUUACGUUUAUUGAUAAUUGGCCCUCUUUCUGGGGCAAACCUGGCUUGCUGAGGAGAGACGGCCUUCACCCUAACCAGGAAGGCGCUAUCCUCUUGUCUCGGAACAUAGAUUUCGCAUUGAGCCACAUUUGACUAACUGCACUAGAGCAAGCUCGGUCACAGGCAAUUACAGAGCCUGCUAGCCUGGGUAUGGAGUCAGUUAAGUUAGAACUAGCCAGCGCCAGGCUGGAUGAUCCCUGUACACAUAGCAAUUUUCGUAGAAUAAUACACAACUCACAAAAUGUUUUUUUUGCUAUGACUAUGACUACGUCAGAGUUAGACAUGCGUUCUACUGAGGUGGCAAAUUAUGAUGCGUUCAGUUUAUCGCAGCACCAAGUAGAUAAUCUGAAAAUUCCCGUCAUAUCACUUCCUAGAUAUGGUCGUAAUUAUUUUAAGUACACUGCGCAUAAUAAACGCAACAUUAUUAAUAUUGCUACUACGGAUAAUUUUAUCAACAACUCCUUAAAACAGCCCACUACCUAUAAUAUGGGCUUUCUAAACAUCAGAUCUUUGUCUCCCAAAACAUUAUUAGUUAAUGAGGUCAUUAGAGACAACAACCUUAACGUCAUCGGUCUUAGCGAAACUUGGCUUAAACUUAAACUUAAACGACUUUUUUGCGAUAAAUGAGGCAUCCCCUCCUAACUAUACGAAUGCGCAUAUUGCCCGUCCCCUUAAAAGGGGAGGGGGGAGUCGCACUAAUAUACAACGAAAACUUUAGUCCUAACUUAAAUAAUAAAUAUAAAUCGUUUGAGGUGCUUUCUAUGAAGUCUGCCACACCUCUGCCUCUGUGCCUGGCCAUUAUCUACCGCCCCCCAGGGCCCUAUUCGGACUUUAUUAGUGAAUUCUCAGUUUGUUGCUGAUCUAGUGACACACUAGAUAAUAUACACCGAUAAUAUAAUUAUAAUGGGGGACUUUAAUAUCCAUAUGAAUACCCCAUUGGACCCACCAUGCGUGGCGCUCCAGACUAUAAUUGAUAGCUGUGGUCUUACACAAAUAAUAAAUGAACCGACGCAUCGCAGCGGUAAUACGAUAGACCUAGUGCUUGUCAGAGGUAUCACCGUUUCCAAAGUUAUGAUACUCCCGUAUACUAAAGUAAUGUCCGAUCAUUACCUUAUAAAAUUCGAAGUUCAGACUCAUGUUCGGCAAGCUAAUAAUAAUAAAAACUGCUAUAGCAGCCGCAACAUUAAUGCUGCCACAACGACGACUCUUGCUGACCUACUACCCUCGGUAAUGGCACCGUUCCCAAAGUAUGUGGGCUCUAUUGAUAACCUCACUAACAACUUUAACAACGCCCUGCGCGUAACCAUUGAUAGUAUAGCACCGCUGAAGUUAAAAAAGGCUCCAAAAAGGCGUACGCCAUGGUUUACUGAAGAAACUAGAUCUCAGAAAUUAUUAUGUAGAAAGCUGGAACGCAAAUGGCGCACGACAAAACUUGAGGUGCACCAUCAAGCAUGGAGUGAUAGUUUAAUAACUUAUAAACGCAUGCUUACCUUAGCUAAAACUAAUUAUUACUCAAAUCUCAUCCCCAUUAAUAAAAACGAUCCAAAAUUUUUGUUUAGUACAGUAGCAUCGCUAACCCAACAAGGGACUCCUUCCAGUAGCUCCACCCAUUCGGCAGAUGACUUUAUGAAGUUCUUUAAUAAGAAAAUUGCAGUUAUUAGAAAGGAGAUUAAAGACAAUGAGUCCCAGCUACAACUGGGUUAUAGUAACAGAUACGGCGGAUACUGCAAAUAUCCAAAAUAGUUUCUCUCGUUUUGAUGAAAUAACACUAGAAGAAUUUUUACAUGUAAAUGGAAUAAAACAAACAUGUUUACUUGACCCACUUCCUGGGAAACUUAUCAAGGAGCUUUUUGUAUUAUUAGGUCCAUCAGUGCUAAAUAUUAUAAACUUAUCACUUUCCUCGGGCACUGUUCCCCUAGCAUUCAAAAAAGCGGUUAUUCAUCCUCUCCUUAAAAGACCUAACCUCGAUCCUGACCUCAUGGUAAACUACCGACCGGUGUCUCACCUUCCCUUUAUUUUGAAAAUCCUCGAAAAAAUUGUUGCAGAGCAGCUAAAUGAACACUUAGCGUUUAACAAUCUAUGUGAAACCUUUCAAUCCGGUUUCAGGGCAAAUCACUCGACUGAGACAGCCCUCGCAAAAUUGACUAAUGAUCUAUUGCUAACGAUGGACUCUGAUGCGUCAUCUAUGUUGCUGCUCCUCGAUCUUAGCGCUGCUUUCGAUACCGUCGAUCAUAAUAUUUUAUUAGAGCGUAUCAAAACACGAAUUGGUAUGUCAGACUCAGCCCUGUCUUGGUUUAACUCUUAUCUUACUGAUAGGAUGCAGUGUGUCUCCCAUAACAGUGUGACCUCGGACUAUGUUAAGGUAACGUGUGGAGUUCCCCAGGGUUCGGUCCUUGGCCCUGUACUCUUCAGCAUCUACAUGCUGCCGCUAGGUGACGUCAUACGCAAAUACGGUAUUAGCUUUCACUGUUAUGCUGAUGACACCCAACUCUACAUGCCCUUAAAGCUGACCAGCACGCCGGACUGUAGUCAGUUGGAAGCGUGUCUUAAUGAAAUUAAACAAUGGAUGUCCGCUGACUUUCUGCAACUUAACGCCAAAAAAACGGAAAUGCUGAUUAUCGGUCCUGCUAGACACCGACCUCUAUUUAAUAAUACAACUUUAACAUUUGACAACCAAAUAAUAAAACAAGGUGACUCGGUAAAAAAUCUGGGUAUUAUCUUCGACCCAACUCUCCCCUGAGAUACACAUUAAAAGCGUUACUAAAACAGCCUUCUUUCAUCUCCGUAAUAUCGCUAAAAUUCGCUCCAUUUUGUCCACUAAAGACGCCGAGAUCAUUAUCCAUGCGUUUGUUACGUCUCGUCUCGAUUACUGUAACGUAUUAUUUUCGGGUCUCCCCAUGUCUAGCAUUAAAAGAUUACAGUUGGUACAAAAUGCGGCUGCUAGACUUUUGACAAGAACAAGAAAGUUUGAUCACAUUACGCCUGUACUGGCUCACCUGCACUGGCUUCCUGUGCACUUAAGAUGUGACUUUAAGGUUUUACUACUUACGUAUAAAAUACUACACGGUCUAGCUCCAGCCUAUCUUGCCGAUUGUAUUGCACCAUAUGUCCCGGCAAGAAAUCUGCGUUCAAAAGACUUCAGCUUAUUAGUGAUUCCUAGAGCCCAAAAAAAGUCUGCGGGCUAUAGAGCGUUUUCCGUUCGGGCUCCAGUACUCUGGAAUGCCCUCCCGGUAACAGUUUGAGAUGCUACCUCAGUAGAAGCAUUUAAGUCUCACCUUAAAACUCAUCUGUAUUCUCUAGCCUUUAAAUAGACCUCCUUUUUAGACCAGUUGAUCUGCCGCUUCUUUUCUUUCUCCUAUGUCCCCCCCUCCCUUGUGGAGGGGGUCCGGUCCGAUGACCAUGGAUGAAGUACUGGCUGUCCAGAGUCGAAACCCAGGAUGGACCCUGCCCACUAGGUAGAGGAGAGCCAAUCAGCCAGUCAAGAUCAGCAACUCCUGAGAUGAGUAACACAGAGCUCCUGCAUCCACAACCUACUGAGGAUGUUGGCAGUCAUAAUAAGCAGUAAACAAGAAGGCAUGGAUCUGAAGAUGACUGUUUAAUGCCUGUGCCAAGUCAAGAUGCAAACCAGUUGUUAAGUGAUAUCUCAGAUUCCCCUCUUAAUCCUGCCAUUCAACAGUCUCUUGAGGACUCUGAAGUGAAGUUUGGACCCAUUGUUGGUGAUGAUAGUGAUACUCAAGACACCACACUUCCCUGGAAUCCACACGACUUGAGCAGCAUGCAGGAUUAAUCCAGGGGUCGGGAACCUUUUGGCGGAGAGAGCUAUUAAGGCAUCAACUAAAGAAAAUUGGAGAUCUUCUUACGCUUCUGCACAGGAUCUACUGUGCUGUGCGAUGACACAAUUGAAGCAAUUUUUAACACAUUGCGUGGUUUAAGUCGCAGGCCUGUAGCACACACACGUGGAGCAGUUCUUGAGUUACCAUGCACUUACAUCACAUACCCUGAGAUAAUGUCUUGUCUGGCGACUGCUUCACAAUGGAUAUUGUGUAGUGAAUGGAAAGCACAUCUAUCUUCUACACCAGGGGUCGGGAACCUUUUUGGCUGAGAGAGCCGAAAAGCCAAAUAUUUUAAAAUGUAUUUCCGUAAGAGCCAUAUAAUAUUUUUUUUAACACUGAACACAACUAAACCUGUGCAUUUUUAAGUAAGACCAACAUUUCUAGAGUAUAAUAGGUCUCUUAUUCUUUGUAAUAACAUUGUUAUUCUGAAGCUAACUGUGGGGGGCGUGGCCUUAUCUAAUCACCUGUCGCUCUGUUAUAAGCAGCAGCCAGGAGGAGAGAUGGGGAAUGGGCUGGAAAUACAAUUGCUGGAAAACAACUGAGAGACUUAUUGAAAAAUAAAACAAUAUUGUAACCCUGAAACGGGCUCUCAUGUCGGUGCUUAGGGGUCUGAAGAACCCCCAGGAGGGCAAGCCCCACACUAACCAAUAAUAACUAAAUAAUUUGUUACCAUUAACGCAACUUCUUGAACGGAUGGAUGGAUUAAAAAUGCAUGAGAAUGUUUUAUAUUUUGAACAUUAUUUUUAACACUGUGAUUACAAGUGAAAUUAUUCAUUACUUAUCGUUUUAAGCAACAUCAGCUCAGAUUUAUCCGAGAGCCAGAUGCAGUCAUCAAAAGAGCCACAUCUGGCUCCCGAGCCAUAGGUUCCCGGCCCCUGUUCUACACUGAGGUUAUUAUGGCAUUUGUCUGAUGCAAAACUGUUUCUACAGAUUUCCAUUUAUUGUUCUUAUUAAAACAGAGACCGUUUACAUUUUUAAAAUUGUUUUAUUAUCUUAUUUUUUUGUAAAUUGUUAGUACAUUGAGAUUCAGUUUUUUUCACAAGACAGUUUUAAUAAUUUUGAUAAGUCAGCAGGGUCUGUUCUCAUAGGUGAAUGUCCCUUUUUGUACAAUUAUUACAUUUUCAUGUGUAUCUUUUAUACAAUUGUUAUUCUGAAUGAUGUUCAGAAUUUUUGUCAUCAUUCAACAAAUAAAUUCAUGUUCAAUGCAAGUACAAUACAUUUCAAAUGGUUGUUUCAGUUCUGUUCAUUUCAUCUUUCAUGUCCUGCCUUGUUACUCUUUGAAGUCACUGUACAUAUAGUGACAUAUCAAUCCUAUUUGCACCUCAGUUUUGCUGCAAAACGUUCUUAAUGUUUGUGGCAUAGCACUGUUCAAGUGUAGUCAGUGUGGACAUGUUGUAGCUCUGAAUAACCUGAAUAAAAAUCCAUCUCAAAUUAGAGAGCUGAUGUUAUCUCAUUCCUCAAGUGAAAGUACAAAUCCAAUGCUUGAUAAUAAUCAGCAGGAAGAUGCAGCUGAGACUCUGCCAUCAGAAUGUUGCAGAUGUUGUAGAUGUCUGUGUCACAUGGCACUGCAGGUCGAAAUGUGCAGUUACUCUGACACAACUGUACAUCAGCUCUGUCCACUGGGGAAGUGCAAUCACAAGUUGUGUAGA